GAUGAACGCUGGCGGCGUGCCUAAUACAUGCAAGUCGAGCGAACAGACGAGGAGCUUGCUCCUCUGACGUUAGCGGCGGACGGGUGAGUAACACGUGGAUAACCUACCUAUAAGACUGGGAUAACUUCGGGAAACCGGAGCUAAUACCGGAUAAUAUAUUGAACCGCAUGGUUCAAUAGUGAAAGACGGUUUUGCUGUCACUUAUAGAUGGAUCCGCGCCGCAUUAGCUAGUUGGUAAGGUAACGGCUUACCAAGGCAACGAUGCGUAGCCGACCUGAGAGGGUGAUCGGCCACACUGGAACUGAGACACGGUCCAGAGUCCUACGGGAGGCAGCAGUAGGGAAUCUUCCGCAAUGGGCGAAAGCCUGACGGAGCAACGCCGCGUGAGUGAUGAAGGUCUUCGGAUCGUAAAACUCUGUUAUUAGGGAAGAACAAAUGUGUAAGUAACUAUGCACGUCUUGACGGUACCUAAUCAGAAAGCCCCGGCUAACUACGUG
rnacentral:rRNA from 1 species